CCUACGGGGGGCUGCAGUGGGGAAUAUUGCACAAUGGGCGCAAGCCUGAUGCAGCCAUGCCGCGUGUGUGAAGAAGGCCUUCGGGUUGUAAAGCACUUUCAGCGGGGAGGAAGGCGUUAAGGUUAAUAACCUUGGCGAUUGACGUCACCCGCAGAAGAAGCACCGGCUAACUCCGUGCCAGCAGCCGCGGUAAUACGGAGGGUGCAAGCGUUAAUCGGAAUUACUGGGCGUAAAGCGCACGCAGGCGGUCUGUCAAGUCGGAUGUGAAAUCCCCGGGCUCAACCUGGGAACUGCAUUCGAAACUGGCAGGCUAGAGUCUUGUAGAGGGGGGUAGAAUUCCAGGUGUAGCGGUGAAAUGCGUAGAGAUCUGGAGGAAUACCGGUGGCGAAGGCGGCCCCCUGGACAAAGACUGACGCUCAGGUGCGAAAGCGUGGGGAGCAAACAGGAUUAGAUACCCCUGUAGUC
rnacentral:rRNA from 1 species